AACGAACGCUGGCGGCGUGCCUAAUACAUGCAAGUCGUGCGAGAAAGUCCCUUUCGGGGGAUAAGUAAAGCGGCGACCUGGUGAGUAACACGUGGAUAAUCUACCUUUAAGUUGGGGAUAAGCUUCCGAAAGGGGGUCUAAUACCGAAUAACAUCGUUUGAUGGCCUCAUCAGACGAUCAAAGGCGGCGCAAGCUGCUGCUUAGAGAUGAGUCCGCGCUCCAUUAGCCAGUUGGCGGGGUAAAAGCCCACCAAAGCUACGAUGGAUAGCCGGCCUGAGAGGGUGUACGGCCACACUGGAACUGAGAUACGGUCCAGACUCCUACGGGAGGCAGCAGCUAAGAAUAUUCCGCAAUGGACGAAAGUCUGACGGAGCGACGCCGCGUGGAUGAAGAAGGCCGAAAGGUUGUAAAAUCCUUUUGUUGGGGAAGAAUAAGCGUGGGAGGGAAUGCCCGCGUGAUGACAUGAACCGACGAAUAAGUCCCGGCUAACUACGUG
rnacentral:rRNA from 1 species